UGUACUCUUACAAAGACACUAGUAAAAUAAGAACUUUCUUACAUUAACCAAUGAAAUUUGGUUGGCUAAUUUUAGUUUUUGCCCUUUUCCUUUUUCUUCUCCUUUUUUCACCAAGCCUAUUCCUUAAAGAAGAUCAGUGGUUGCCAUGCCAACGGGGUUUACCUAGUAGAAAAUGGCUUUGACUUGCAGACGAGAGGGCGACGGGGUCUCAGAGUAGUCUCAGGGUGGGGAGAAAAAUGUACUAACAAUGGUCAAGCUCCAACAGUUCAACAGACCCAAGUGGGGUUUGGAAGCUCUCCAAAGUUCAUGGUGGUGGUGAAUAACCAGUGCCCUAUGUGCCCAAUCAUCGACAUUCAUUUGAAGUGUGGAAGCUUUCCUCAGGCUCUGGUCAACCCGAGACUGCUCAAGGUGCUAGGCGUCGAUGAUUGUGUUAUUAACAGCGGGUUGCCAUUGGCACCUCUGCAGACAUUUUCCUUCAAUUAUUCUCACCAAAAGUAUCUCAUGUAUCCAAAAAUCUGGUCUUUUCAAUGUGAGUGACUUGAUUAAUUAGGCCUACCAGGUAAUUAAGCAGUUAAUUAGUUUCCUUUGUCUUGCAUCCUUUGGGUCCAUGUGAUGAAUUAUUCUUAAUCUCGUCUUAAUUAACAAUAUUAAGUAUAUAAACAUGAGAACAUAUGGAAAACAUCUCUGGACCCAAAGAAAUUAAAUUGGACAGAAAGUAACCACCAGGGAAGCUUUAAAC